CUCUGAUGUGCUAGUAAGCAUCAGAUCUCCUCUGUGUAUAUAUAGUUAGGUACUCUUCUUUUUUUUAUAGGUUCCGUCAUAUAUAUCACGGUCUGAAGUUGUAGCUAAACUUGCUUUCAUCUUCAGUUUCUAUCACUAUUUAAAGGUUUUCAUCAUUAUUCAUUUGGUGGCUAAAUAUUACUCAUGGGACGUUUCUAGAGAAUGCAAGACCAUGUUUGAGUGAGAAAUUGGUCUCGAUGAAAUUGAGAGUUCAAUGAACAGCACAUACAAUGCAAGUAAAUCUACCUACUCAAACCCAUCUUCUAUUUCUAAAGCAGAAGGGCUUUCGGUGGCUGAAACAAGUGAGUGAUUAAGUUUUUUAUCACCCGUAUUAUUUGUUAUCACUAGGGAAAGAAAGCUGAGUAGAAAAAGUAGAAUGCCAAAUG